rnacentral:RNase_P_RNA from 2 species
CGAGUCGGCUGGAUAGUCGCUGUAGCCGUUGGCUAUAGAGGAAAGUCCGGGCUUCAUAGGGCAAGGUGCCAGGUAACGCCUGGGGGGCGCGAGCCUACGGAAAGUGCAGCAGAGAGUAGACCGCCUAAGUGAUUGAUCACCGGUAAGGCUGAAAGGGUGCGGUAAGAGCGCACCGCGCGCAUGGCAACAUUGCGUGGCAUGGUAAACCCCACCUGAAGCAAGACCAAAUAGAACCUCAACGGUAUGGCCCAUACUGAGGUUGGGUAGGUUGCUUGAGGUACAUGGCGACAUGUAUCCCAGAUGAAUGACUAUUCACGACAGAACCCGGCUUAUAGGCUGACUCGACAU